CCGGGGAUGCAAGGUAGACCCGAAACUAAUCAGUGCGUUAAUCGAGAGGUGGAGACCCGAGAUGCAUACAUUCCAUCUUUCAUGUGGAGAGUGCACUAUCACUUUGAAAGAUGUCAGUCUGCAAUUGGGAUUGCCGAUGGACGGGUACCCAGUCACCGGGUCCGUCCAAUCUAGUGAUUGAGGAACGGUGUGCUACGAGCUUUUGGGCGCUAUUCCGAAGAAAUUGGACGGAGGUAAGAUCGAGAUGGGCUGGUUACGAGACACAUUCCCAGAUCCGGAUAAAGAUUCAACCGAAAUAGAAAGAAUUUGAUAUGCUCGGGCAUAUAUUCUUCAGUUAAUUAGAGGUUAUCUGAUGCCGGACUCGUCACGGAGCCGCGUACAUCUAAGAUGGUUGCUGAAACUCGUUGAUUUUAGAGCAGCUGGUGAAUUAAGUUGGGGGUCUGCCGUCUUGGCAACGUUAUAUCGGGAGAUGUGAGGGGCGACGCGACUGGGGAAAGUAAAAAUCGGAGGUUGCCUAUCAUUACUGCAAUCAUGGGCACGGUUUCGCUUUCCAUUUCUACGUCCUCGAGUGGACCACCCAUAUACAUUUCCACUCAUAACGAGGUGGAACCAUCCGGCAAGUCAUGCUCGAUUACCUACCUCUCUUGAAGAUAUACGGCUUCUAUUAGACUAACAGUCGGAAGCACAUCUUCAAUGGACACCAUACGAGGAUCCAGCAAUUCGGGCAGUAAUUCCGGAUGAAUUCUUACAAAAUCCAAACGCUUGGCACGCAAAAGUCGCGUUGAUCAACUACGCGACCGUGGAGAUACACCAGUCAGACAAGGUGUUACGACAAUUUGGAUUUAGACAACCGAUUCCCGUGGAACCUGAGGUGUUUGACGAUCACCACAAAAUUGACCUUCGGCAAUUGAAUAUGGAUUGGCAAAAAUUCUGGUCCGAGUACUUCCAAAUAUGGGAAGAUCGGUAUGAUUAUAUACCUACUAAGGAACCGAUCAUCGUUCCGGAGUUAGCGUGCGUGUCAGAAUACAUGUCAUGGUUUAGGAUCCAUGGUAAGCCGUAUUUACUGUCGCCAGAGGAGAGGCAGCGGCAAUUACGUGUCCAAAUGGAAAGACGCGGGUCUUUAAAUCCAAGACGACAGGACGACGACGCUGGCCCCUUAACGAGGCCCAGACAAUCACCCGACCCAUCAUCAGCGGCCAUUCAAUACCAGACCCAACGAUAGCACCGACACAGUCACCCGACCCAGCAGUUCAACCGAUGAUACCUACGCAAUCGCCUUUUCAGAUGAUGCCAGGUGCGUUUCCUAGCCUUUUUAUGUAUCAUAACCCUUAUAUGUUUCCUUUUCCAAGUCUUAUGGCAGGUUGGAGCCAAUGGCCUGGUUCAGCUCCAUUUCCUGUAACGCCGAGUGGACCACCGAUGUUAGCGUGCGUGCCGGAAUACAUGCCAUAGUUUAGGAUCCAUGGCAAGCUAUAUUUACUAUCGCCAGAGGAAAGGCAGCGGCUAUUACAUGUCCAAAGGGAAAGACGCGGGCCUUUAAAUCCAAGACGAAAAGACGACGACGCUAGCCCAUCAACGAGGCCCAAACAAUCACCUGGCCUAUCAUCAGCGGCCAUUCAAUCACCAGGCCCAACGAUAACACCGACACAGUCACCCGACCCAGCAAUUCAACCGAUUAUACUCACGCAACCGCCUUUUCAGAUGAUGCCAGGUUGGAGCCAAUGGCCCGGUUCAGCUCCAUUUCCUGUAACGUCGAGUGGACCAUCGAUGUAUAGGCCAGCGAUGCACGAGGGAUCACCAGAGGGGCCGUCGGGGAGCUCUUCUUUUUACCAAUCCCCACCACCGUAUGAGUUUCAAACACAGUCGCCGUUGGUGAUACAAAUACCUCCACAUUCACUAUUCUAUCAAGGUGGCUCAUCGUCCCAACUCCGACAACCAGAUGCCCUACCGGAAGAACCAGAAUCCCCACCGGAGGAACCACAACCGUCGCCGGAAGCUAGACAAAUGAUGAAUCCAGCGCGUAACCAUCGACGGCCGCCAUGUGGCACUGAA